AACGCUNGCGGCAGGCUUAACACAUGCAAGUCGAGCGCACCUUCGGGUGAGCGGCGGACGGGUGAGUAACGCGUGGGAACAUACCCUUUGGUACGGAAUAGCCUCUGGAAACGGAGAGUAAUACCGUAUGAGCCCUUCGGGGGAAAGAUUUAUCGCCAAAGGAUUGGCCCGCGUUAGAUUAGGUAGUUGGUGGGGUAAUGGCCUACCAAGCCUACGAUCUAUAGCUGGUUUUAGAGGAUGAUCAGCAACACUGGGACUGAGACACGGCCCAGACUCCUACGGGAGGCAGCAGUGGGGAAUCUUGGACAAUGGGGGCAACCCUGAUCCAGCCAUGCCGCGUGAGUGAUGAAGGCCUUAGGGUCGUAAAGCUCUUUCGCCNGUGAAGAUAAUGACGGUAGCAGGUAAAGAAACCCCGGCUAACUCCGUGCCAGCAGCCGCGGUAAUACGGAGGGGGUUAGCGUUGUUCGGAAUUACUGGGCGUAAAGCGCACGUA
rnacentral:rRNA from 1 species